rnacentral:tRNA from 1 species
GUCGCUGUGGCGGAAUGGCAGACGCUUCAGACUUAAAAUCUGAUGGGACGGAAGUCUCGUGUGGGUUCGAGUCCCACCAGCGAUA